GAUGAACGCUGGCGGCGUGCCUAAUACAUGCAAGUCGAGCGAACAGACGAGGAGCUUGCUCCUCUGGCGUUAGCGGCGGACGGGUGAGUAACACGUGGAUAACCUACCUAUAAGACUGGGAUAACUUCGGGAAACCGGAGCUAAUACCGGAUAAUAUAUUGAACCGCAUGGUUCAAUAGUGAAAGACGGUUUUGCUGUCACUUAUAGAUGGAUCCGCGCCGCAUUAGCUAGUUGGUAAGGUAACGGCUUACCAAGGCAACGAUGCGUAGCCGACCUGAGAGGGUGAUCGGCCACACUGGAACGGAGACACGGUCCAGACUCCUACGGGAGGCAGCAGUAGGGAAUCUUCCGCAAUGGGCGAAAGCCUGACGGAGCAACGCCGCGUGAGUGAUGAAGGUCUUCGGAUCGUAAAACUCUGUUAUUAGGGAAGAACAAAUGUGUAAGUAACUAUGCACGUCUUGACGGUACCUAAUCAGAAAGCCACGGCUAACUACGUG
rnacentral:rRNA from 1 species